rnacentral:rRNA from 1 species
AUACGCUGCGAAAAGCCGUGGGGAGCUCCGAUAACGCUUUGAUCCAUGGAUCUCCGAAUGGGGCAACCCACCUUAAAUACCUAGAAAAUCAUUCUGGUUGUCGGACCUUUGGUCCGACGUUACGGCGAACGAUCGCCGACGCGCUCUGCGCUUUGUUGGUGCCCUGCUCGGGUUCGAGUGUGGCAGCAGCACAGGCCAGAGGCCUGUCGUCGGUCGUCCGACGCGCCCACGCAGCGCCGCCCGAAGGGCGGAACAAGCGUGAGUGAGAAACCCGAAUGGUUUCUAGGUAUUGUAACAAGGUAUCUUCAUCUGAAUAAAAUAGGGUGUAAGAAGCGAACGCAGGGAACUGAAACAUCUAAGUACCUGCAGGAAAGGACAUCAACCGAGACUCCGCAAGUAGUGGCGAGCGAACGCGGACCAGGCCAGUGGCAAUUGAGUGUUAAAGUGGAAGAACCUGGGAAAGGUUUGCCGCAGAGGGUGACAGCCCCGUACGCGUAGAUACACUUAUUGUCCUAGAGUAGGGCGGGACACGUGAAAUCCUGUCUGAACAUGGGGAGACAACUCUCCAAGCCUAAGUACUCGUGCAUGACCGAUAGC